AAAUAGGAUUCCUUAAGUAAUGGCGAAUGAACAAGGAUGAGCUCAGAAUGAAAAUCGGGGCCUAUGGCUUUGAAUUGUAGUCUUGAGAUGUGUUGCCAGCGGAGGCGCAGAUGUAAGCCUCUUGGAAAAGAGCACCAACGAGGGUGAUAGUCCCGUUUGUCAUCUGCAGCCCCCCGUGUACGGCGCAUAUUCUAAGAGUCGCGUUCCUCGGGAUUGGAGCGUAAAUGGGUGGUAAAUUUCAUCUGAAGCUAAAUAUUGGUUCGAGACCGAUAGCAAACAAGUACCAUGAGGGAAAGGUGAAAAGGACUUUGAAAAGAGAGUUAAAAGUGCCUGAAAUUGCUGAGAGGGAAGCGAAUGGAACCAGCUUUGCUUGGCGAGAUUGUUGCAUGCUACAGCUAUGGCUUGCUAUGGCAACGUAAGUGCCCUAGCUUGCCACCAACUUGAUGCAUGCGGUGGUUCUUGCUCUGUGUGUCAGCUUUGACGCAGACUUGAUGAAAACUGUAGGGUCAAGGUAGCUCGUCUCCGGGUGAGUGAAUGUCCCUGCAAGAAAUCACGUGUGCGCUUGACAUGGCGUGCCUCAUUUGGUAAGCCACAAGAUUGAUGACAAAAUGGUUCCACACGACCCGUCUUGAAACACGGACCAAGGAGUCUAGCGUAUGUGCAAGUUCACGGGUGUCAAACCUGUUUGCGUAAUGAAAGUGACUGCUGGGAUUUCUGCACCAGCAACCGACCAAUCAAUUGAGAGAGGUUUGAGUAUGAGCAUAUCUGUUAGGACCCGAAAGAUGGUGAACUAUGCCUGAGAAGGGCAAACUCAGGGGAAACUCUGAUGGAGGC
rnacentral:rRNA from 1 species